CCUGACGGAGCACGCCGCGUGAGUGAUGAAGGUCUUCGGAUCGUAAAACUCUGUUAUUAGGGAAGAACAAAUGUGUAAGUAACUAUGCACGUCUUGACGGUACCUAAUCAGAAAGCCACGGCUAACUACGUGCCAGCAGCCGCGGUAAUACGUAGGUGGCAAGCGUUAUCCGGAAUUAUUGGGCGUAAAGCGCGCGUAGGCGGUUUUUUAAGUCUGAUGUGAAAGCCCACGGCUCAACCGUGGAGGGUCAUUGGAAACUGGAAAACUUGAGUGCAGAAGAGGAAAGUGGAAUUCCAUGUGUAGCGGUGAAAUGCGCAGAGAUAUGGAGGAACACCAGUGGCGAAGGCGACUUUCUGGUCUGUAACUGACGCUGAUGUGCGAAAGCGUGGGGAUCAAACAGGAUUAGAUACCCUGGUAGUCCACGCCGUAAACGAUGAGUGCUAAGUGUUAGGGGGUUUCCGCCCCUUAGUGCUGCAGCUAACGCAUUAAGCACUCCGCCUGGGGAGUACGACCGCAAGGUUGAAACUCAAAGGAAUUGACGGGGACCCGCACAAGCGGUGGAGCAUGUGGUUUAAUUUCGAAGCAACGCGAGAACCUUACCAAAUCUUGACAUCCUCUGACCCCUCUAGA
rnacentral:rRNA from 1 species